CUAAAAUAGGCAUGCAAGUAGGCAAAUAAGCUCACAAAUAAGAUAAUUUUAGAUGAUGAUAAGAGGCCAAAAGCAAAUAAAACAAGGCAAGAGCGUAACAGAGUGAACAGCAUCAGAGUGGGUGUUCAAGAAUAGUCUCUGUAGAGUGACCGCAUGAGGAUAAGAAGUCAGCAAGAGGACAAGGAGCCAGCAAGAGGAGAUGCUUGGGAGGCCAGCCUUGGAAGGACUGAAGACAGAAGAGCUGCAGGCAGAGUUUGCCUUUUACUUGCCACAGUGGACGCAUGCUUGUGGUGAAAGGGCUCCAGGACCGCUUGGCUGGGAUGGUAACGCAGCGCACAGUGGCGGAGAGCUCAGAGACUAGGCCUGUCUGGAGGGUCCUGUAUGUGAGCUGAUCAUCCACCUCACAGCAGCCUUUCAGCUAUCACCCUCAUUUUACAGGUGUUGCUGUGCAGCCCAGGCUGCCCUCCGACUCACAGAGACCCUCCUGCCUCAGCCCCUCCCGGAGUGCUGGGAUUGCAGUCCAAGCCCAGCAAUUGCCCAGAAAGAGAUCACUCCUUCAGCCCUAUACCAAAUGAAGAUUAUGCAGAUGCAAAGGACCAAGGGCUUUGGCCAGCUAUGAGAGACCCCUGCCAUGAACGGGAAAUAGGGGAGUAGGUGUAUACGAGUGCAUGUAAAUGUAAAAUAUAUGUUCAUGCAGGUGGGUGUGCAUGUAUACACGAGUGUAUGUCUUUAUGAAUUUCUGUCUCGUGAUUCAAUCCUGGAGUCAAUUGUAUUCCUUUAGAAACUCACUAUAGAAAAAUCCACGUUCUUCACCUUCAUAAGUCAUUGUGAGGUCUGCGGGACCUCAUAAGUCAUUGUGAGGCUGUCUCUAACCCGCUAAAGGUUAUCUGCCUUUACCCUAUCCCUCUGCCAUUUUCAUUGUUCUUAAUUGUACCCUGUUCAUUGAAGUGUUUCUAACUUUGUUUAUCCUUUUUCUUACAGGAGAAACAUAGAAAAAUAACUGCAGUUAGUUCUUUCAAGGUUGUGACAAUAACAAAGAUGAGGAGCUUGGGCCCAAGUCCCCAGGUCCCCGAGGACAGCAGAACUGGUGUCAGCUGCCACGGCUAUGUUUUGUGUGCGACACUAACAAGUGGUAACCAUGGGGUUUUGUGAGUUUCCUUGCCCUACUUGGCCUCACACAGAGGUGCCAGCAAGUAAUGAAGUCCCCAGGCAAGUGCAUCAGCUUUGGACAAGAGCUUGGCUGUGUUCAAUGUCAUGAGCCCCUUAUACAAUGUCACAGGGUGACUCCUGUCUUUGAGUACUCACAAAGUGCACAGGCAGGCACUUAGGAGUUCUCAUACCUGAAGGCUGCUGCUAUGUUUCCCAAUCAUCCCUUGCUGGGAGAGCGGAAACUGUGGUUAGACAAAUUAAUCCUAGGAGAAGUUAAGCAAUUGUCAUCUCAGAGAAGAGCUUCUAUGCCCUCAAGGCCCUGAAAACCACAUACAGUCAAAAUCUCACAUUUAAUUUAUAUUAAGCAUGGAAUUAAUAAGAGCCCAUGGUAAUAAAUUGUCAGGGAAAGAAAUGAAAAGAAGAUAUCAUACAAUAUUUAUGUAAUAAAAAUAAUCACCUUCAUUAAUAUAACCCACAUUUUUUUUCUUGGUAGGACCUAGUAAUAAAAAGCAUUUAAAUCACUGUUAGGAGAUUACUAUACUUUAUACAAUACAUGUAAAGACUAAACACACUGCUUUUGUCAAAAGCACAAUAUCCUGAAAUAAAUGACCUCAGAAAAAAAUAAAAUGUGCUUCUGAAUAUUUCUCAAUUUCUAACAGAAAAUUCAACAUCUAUCUAUUCAAUAAAUUAUCCUUUCCCGAACAUGUUUGAAAUUUUAUAAUGAAUGCAGCUGGCAGAAAAAUUGAAAUGUAAUUGAGUGACAUCUUUUAAUCAUAUCAUAGGUUGGAGCUGGGAAAUGUAAACAAGAGAGGUGGCUCCAGGAUUUCUUCUAUCGCUCAUCUUAAAUGGCUGGCUGCAUUGUUUUAGUCACUGAACAAACCCAUCUAGGUUUUAUAUGAAGGCAAGCUGGUUUUCUCUUGAAGGAAGAGUCAUAAAUGACACCAAUGUAUUUGCAACUGUGAGUUCCCUAUCUUUAUGCUGCCAGCAAUUUCAAUUUAAAAAAAACCAUUAGAGAAGCUGUAAUAAAAUCAUCUCUAAGUGGAAGGAAUGUGAUUAGGGAAAGCAGGAUUCUAAACCCCAUUUAAUUGCAGGAGUUUGGAGAGGUUUGCUGGUGUGUGUGUGCCUUGCAGUUCCCUAACAUCUUGAGAUGUGACCUGGACUGAAACCUUAAAGGCUAUUAACAGUAUUUUGUAUUCCCAGGUAAGCACCUUUGCUGACACUUUCAAAUGCUCCGUAUGUCUAUAUGAAAACCACUUGUGCUUUGUUUGUAUGGUUUUCCUAUUGUAUGUUACCUCAAUAGUCUUUUGUGAUAGGAAUAUAGAAUAAACAUGUUAGGAUUCUAAAGCUGUCAUCUUCUGUGGCCUAGUUUGUUGAUUCCUUUUCCUUCAGGAAAUUAUACUCAUGCCAUCUGUCAUAAUUCCCCUGGAGUCCCUGCUACACAACCACAUUAUAACAAGAUGCUUUUGUUCCUUUGAUAAUUAAAUGCUCUAUUGAAUAGUGAGAAAAAACAGAUUUAUCUUGUAUAAUUCUCCUCUAAGGAGAAAGGAGGUUAAGGACACCUCCAGAUAGCAAUAGAUAGUGUUACUAGAAGAUAAUGAGGUAAUUGCCACGGGCAGGGCCUGGUUUCUUUACACCGUGAAUAUAAAAUACCAUUUUAUCUUUAUAACAUGAAUGGGCAAAGUAUAUUAGGCAAAUUUUUACUGUUAGAAAGAAGGUGAUUAUCUGUGAUUCUGAGCCAGUUAUCUUAAAUAGCUUUAUGUGUGGCUAUUAACUUCAUUUACCACAUAAUUUGCCUAAGAAAAUAGUAUGUUUUAAAUAACUAAGCCCAUGCCUAUGUCCUCAACUGCAGACAUGCAUUUGAUUGCUGAGACCACACCUGGUAACAUUCUCAGAGGUCACUGGGGGAGGACAGGGUGAUGGCCAGUUUUGUGUGUCAGGGUUAUAGCUGGCUGCGUACCCUUAUUUAGUCAAACAUUAACUCAGUUGUUGCUGUGAAAGUCUUUGUAGAUGUGGUUAACAUGUAUAGUUAAUUGAGUAUGUGGGGGUGGGGUUGGGUGUGGGGGUGGUGUUGAGGGUUGAGCCCAGGGCCUUCACAGUGAGCUACAACCUCAGGCCUUUUACAAUUUUGUUUUGAGACAGUGUCUCACUAAGCUGCUAAGCUGCCCAGGCUGGGCUUGAACUUGUGAUCCUCUUGCUUCAGCUUCCCAGAGAGCUAGGAUUAUAGGAGACACUAUUGUGACUGGCUUAUAAUCACGGAAUUUUAAGCAAAGGUAUACCUUCAGCAAUUGUGAAAGACGCCUCAUCCAAUGAGUUGAAAGUCUUAAGCUCAAAAACUAAGAUUUCCCAGAGAAGAAAUUCUUCUCCUCAAAACAAACUCAAACUAUUAGACUUCUGCCUGAGUUUUCAGCUUAUCCAGACAAAUUCCC
ensembl:lncRNA